UACGGAGGGGGCUAGCGUUGUUCGGAAUUACUGGGCGUAAAGGGCGCGUAGGCGGUUGGAUAAGUCAGCUGUGAAAACCACGGGCUUAACUCGUGGCCUGCAGUUGAGACUGUCUGGCUUGAGUGUGGGAGAGGAGAGUGGAAUUCCUGGUGUAGCGGUGAAAUGCGUAGAUAUCAGGAGGAACACCGGUGGCGAAGGCGGCUCUCUGGACCACAACUGACGCUGAGGCGCGAAAGCUAGGGGAGCAAACAGG
rnacentral:rRNA from 1 species